ensembl:processed_transcript
AAGGAGGACUCAAGGUAAUGUUUCUGUCACAUACCCACACCAGAGCAUGUCAGUCUUUUUGAGGAUUGAACAGAGUCUCCAUAGCAGACAGGACAUUAAAUUCGGUGACCGUGCUAUGAAAAUAUGCAAAGAUAAUGAAAGUUGAGCUAAGACCAGUCUGAAAGCUACAGUUACAGAGAGAGAGAGAAGAAGUAGAAGAAGAAAAGAAGAAGAAGAAGAAGAAGAAGAAGAAGAAGAAGAAGAAGAAGAAGAAGAAGAAGAAGAAGAAGAAAAGUUGGAUGGGUGGAGAGGAUCUAGGAAAUGGAGAAAGUGAAACCACAAUCAGAGUACAUUAUAUGAAUUUUCAGUAAGAAAUUAAGUGCUUUGACUUUAAAUAUAAAAUAACUACAAACAAAACAAACUAUGCUUCCCAGUUCUGCCCCCACCUCCCAGACUGUGCACCAUUUUGCAUCCUUGACUUGUUCUUCGGAAGAAGAAAGUGGUGGUAUAGGGAAAUGUAAAACCACCACAUCUCAAAUUUAGGAGUUAUUUCCCCAUAAUAUUAAACAGAACCCAGUGAGUUUAUAAUAAACACAUCAUAGGCAGGGAAAGCCUGAAUCCUUACAAGUUCCUGUGUCUAUGCACACAUUUUCACAUGAAAUUUGUCAAAUGUAGCUCCAACUUCACCUAGAACAAUUGCAUUGUCUUUAUUCAAUGGCAUUCACUGUCCAGUUACUUUGCUAGCCUUGAGUUAUUAAAGUCAACUUUUAUGCUUUCCAAUCCAUGCUAGGUACCACUCAAAUAUGUAACCCCAUUUGCCUGUUUUGAGUGUCUAAUGGUGCCAGUUUAAGAAUUAGCACUUCCCAUUUUAUCAUAUUUUAGUUCACAUGAUCUUGUAGGGUUUUUCUUCACCAAGCCAAUCCUUUAUGUUAAUAAAAUCACAAUUAGAAGAAAUUCAGAAUU